UACGAAGGGGACUAGCGUUGUUCGGAUUUACUGGGCGUAAAGCGCGCGUAGGCGGAUCGCUAAGUCAGGGGUGAAAUCCCAGGGCUCAACCCUGGAACUGCCUUUGAUACUGACGGUCUGGAGAUCGGGAGAGGUUGGUGGAAUUCCGAGUGUAGAGGUGAAAUUCGUAGAUAUUCGGAGGAACACCAGAAGCGAAGGCGGCCAACUGGCCCGAUACUGACGCUGAGGCGCGAAAGCUAGGGGAGCAAACGGG
rnacentral:rRNA from 1 species